rnacentral:rRNA from 1 species
GCGACCCCAGUUUAGGAGGGAUUACCCGCUGAGUUUA